rnacentral:rRNA from 1 species
GACGAACGCUGGCGGCGUGCUUAACACAUGCAAGUCGAACGGAAAGGCCCUGCUUUUGUGGGGUGCUCGAGUGGCGAACGGGUGAGUAACACGUGAGUAACCUGCCCUUGACUUUGGGAUAACUUCAGGAAACUGGGGCUAAUACCGGAUAGGAGCUCCUGCUGCAUGGUGGGGGUUGGAAAGUUUCGGCGGUUGGGGAUGGACUCGCGGCUUAUCAGCUUGUUGGUGGGGUAGUGGCUUACCAAGGCUUUGACGGGUAGCCGGCCUGAGAGGGUGACCGGCCACAUUGGGACUGAGAUACGGCCCAGACUCCUACGGGAGGCAGCAGUGGGGAAUAUUGCACAAUGGGCGGAAGCCUGAUGCAGCAACGCCGCGUGCGGGAUGACGGCCUUCGGGUUGUAAACCGCUUUCGCCUGUGACGAAGCGUGAGUGACGGUAAUGGGUAAAGAAGCACCGGCUAACUACGUGCCAGCAGCCGCGGUGAUACGUAGGGUGCGAGCGUUGUCCGGAUUUAUUGGGCGUAAAGGGCUCGUAGGUGGUUGAUCGCGUCGGAAGUGUAAUCUUGGGGCUUAACCCUGAGCGUGCUUUCGAUACGGGUUGACUUGAGGAAGGUAGGGGAGAAUGGAAUUCCUGGUGGAGCGGUGGAAUGCGCAGAUAUCAGGAGGAACACCAGUGGCGAAGGCGGUUCUCUGGGCCUUUCCUGACGCUGAGGAGCGAAAGCGUGGGGAGCGAACAGGCUUAGAUACCCUGGUAGUCCACGCUGUAAACGGUGGGUACUAGGUGUGGGGUCCAUUCUACGGGUUCCGUGCCGUAGCUAACGCUUUAAGUACCCCGCCUGGGGAGUACGGCCGCAAGGCUAAAACUCAAAGGAAUUGACGGGGCCCCGCACAAGCGGCGGAGCAUGCGGAUUAAUUCGAUGCAACGCGUAGAACCUUACCUGGGUUUGACAUGGAUCGGGAGUGCUCAGAGAUGGGUGUGCCUCUUUUGGGGUCGGUUCACAGGUGGUGCAUGGCUGUCGUCAGCUCGUGUCGUGAGAUGUUGGGUUAAGUCCCGCAACGAGCGCAACCCUUGUUCACUGUUGCCAGCACGUUAUGGUGGGGACUCAGUGGAGACCGCCGGGGUCAACUCGGAGGAAGGUGGGGAUGACGUCAAGUCAUCAUGCCCCUUAUGUCCAGGGCUUCACGCAUGCUACAAUGGCUGGUACAGAGAGUGGCGAGCCUGUGAGGGUGAGCGAAUCUCGGAAAGCCGGUCUCAGUUCGGAUUGGGGUCUGCAACUCGACCUCAUGAAGUCGGAGUCGCUAGUAAUCGCAGAUCAGCAACGCUGCGGUGAAUACGUUCCCGGG